rnacentral:rRNA from 1 species
UGGGGAAUAUUGCGCAAUGGGCGAAAGCCUGACGGAGCAACGCCGCGUGAGGGAUGAAGGCCUCUGGGCUGUAAACCUCUUUUCUCAAGGAAGAAGAUCUGACGGUACUUGAGGAAUAAGCCACGGCUAAUUCCGUGCCAGCAGCCGCGGUAAUACGGGAGUGGCAAGCGUUAUCCGGAAUUAUUGGGCGUAAAGCGUCCGCAGGCGGUCCAGAAAGUCUGCUGUUAAAAAGUGGAGCUUAACUCCAUCAUGGCAGUGGAAACUUCUGGACUAGAGUGUGGUAGGGGCAGAGGGAAUUCCCGGUGUAGCGGUGAAAUGCGUAGAUAUCGGGAAGAACACCAGUGGCGAAGGCGCUCUGCUGGGCCAUAACUGACGCUCAUGGACGAAAGCCAGGGGAGCGAAAG